rnacentral:rRNA from 1 species
AACGAACGCUGGCGGCAGGCUUAACACAUGCAAGUCGAGCGCCCCGCAAGGGGAGCGGCGGACGGGUGAGUAACACGUGGGAACAUGCCCUUUGGUUCGGAACAACUCAGGGAAACUUGAGCUAAUACCGAAUGUGCCGGUAACGGGAAAGAUUUAUCGCCAAGGGAUUGGCCCGCGUCCGAUUAGCUAGUUGGUGAGGUAAAGGCUCACCAAGGCUCCGAUCGGUAGCUGGUUUGAGAGAACGACCAGCCACACUGGGACUGAGACACG